UUAAUGCUUUUUGUGAAGAAGAUGUUGAGGGUUUUUUCAAUUAUGGUUUCUUAGGAAAAAUUAGACUUUAUGUUAAAAAAGUAGAAAAUUUAAUUAUUGAAUCAGGGAACAAAAAUGACCGUUAAAUACCAAAAUUUCUGUGUUUAGGUCACUGCAAGACCGAUAUUUCUCGAUCUUUAUUUUUUCGGUCAAAUUUAAAUUUUAUUAUUUCGGUGACUUUUAUUUAUACAUAGAAUUAAGCAAAGUCGAGAUAUUUGAACGCGCUAUUCUUGAAAAGUACUGUCCGGGUUUUGACAAGACUUUUCUUAUUUUAAUCUGUAUUUAUAGGAGCAAAAACUUUAGAUUUAGAAUAUUUUCUAAGCCAUUCUUAAAAUAUUUAGGUUUUAAAUUUUCUCAGUUUCAGUGGUAACCGCAAAUUAGAUUUAUAUUUUUUCGAGCAUUUUAACCGUUAUAACUUAUACUGCGUUCUUAUGAAGGUUUUAGGUCCUUAAUGAUUUAAAAGAUUUAAUCUGAAAACAACGGCAUGUUAUGAUCGAAAAAAUAAAAAUCAUGAAAUAACUGUUAAAAUUUAUCAGAAAAAUAUAAAUCCAAUUUCAAUAGUUAAAUCAUAAUUUUUUAUUACAAAGAUCAUUACCGUGGAACUGUGACCCUGGAUUAAUUUUUUUAUUUUUAGCUCACCCAUUUGUUUUCAGAUUUUAAUUCAUUCUAAGUAAUUAAGUUUUUCAUCAUUCAAUAAUUCGCGACACUAAAUUUUGCGAAUUUUUAACUUUUGAAGUUAUGUGCUAAAAAUGUUCACAGAUUUUCCAAAUCUUUCAUUUAAAGCUGAAGUAAUAUUUCAUCGUAUGAUUACAAAAAAAAACAUAGAAAAAGUUAUUUGCGUUAUUUGAAAUUUUUCUCGAACAAAUCUGAUGGCUAUUUUGGAAGUAAAAUUUUUUUAUUCGUUCAUAUUUGCUCUUAAUGAUCCUUUGCGAUUAUUAUGUUAUAACCAUAAUUACCAAAAUCUGAAAAUGGCGAUAGCCCAACGAUUAUUUUUGAACGUAAAGUCCAAGUUUCAAAAUGUCAUUCAAGUAUGAUCGAAAAAUGCAAAUCCAAAAUUAACUAAAAUUCAGCAAAGAUCGCAAAAUAACAUUUCUGCUAUGAUUCGAAUCGAAAGCAUUAUCCGUCAGUAUGAUUUAUCUACGAAAUCUCAAAAAAGUAUCGGUCUGUGAUUAAAAGUGAUCUCCAGCUAAGACCGAGUUUUGUAAUCACCGAAGGUAAUGAUUUUUCAGUUAAAUAAGUAUCAAUUCCUGAUCAAAAGUGAUCCUCACCGCACACCUUUUUCACCAUCAUCGAAGUUGGUGAUUUUUUUUACCAAAAAGGCAUUGUUUCCUUCUAAAAAGUGAUCAUCAGCUUACAAAUAAUCUUAUAGUCAUCGAAGUUGGUGACUUUUUAGCAAAAAAUUUCACGAUACCUGAGCAAAAAAUGAUCUGCAGCUUAGACCGUAUUUCAUAGCCAUCCAAGCUAAUGAUUUUUUCGUUAAAAAGUAUUUAUCCUGAAUCCAAAGUGAUCUUUAGCCCACCAAAGUGAAUGAUUUUUUUAGACAAAAAUGAUAAAAUUCCUAAAAAAAGCGAAAAGAGCUAUUUUUAUAAUUAUCCUACUAAAUUGGUUCAGCUUUCGAUAAAAAGCGAUCUUUCGUUCACGCAACUACUAUUUUUUUUAAAAAGGUACCGAUUUUCAAUUACAAGUUAUUAUCAUUCAAGUGAAAUAUUUUUCAGCUAAGAAAGCUAUGAUCGCUGAUCAAUAGUGAUGUCGAACUCAGAAUUUAUUUGGCAAUUCAUUCCCCUGGUGAUUCUUAAGUUAUUCCUUAAUAAGCUCAUGUUAAGGUUAUACAUACAUAUGUUCUUAUGAAUGCUCUAGAAUGCUCCAGAUAGGUAGGUAGAUUGCCUGAGUAGCGAUUUCUCUUGCUUGGCCACGAUCGAGUGAGUUCUCGGUUGAGUCUGAUCUGAAAGUAAUUUCCAUCGAACCAUAAGCGACACUAAAUACAUGAUCAUACAUAUUAUAUAUGUACCUACCUCAAUUAUGAAUAGCGUAGUCUUACACGAAUUAAGCAAUUAUUUAGCAGCUUAGCUUUACAUUUGUCGUUUCUAAUUUUUAUCUUGUGCAUGACUUUAAUUU